GCGCCCGUAGCUCAGAUGGAUAGAGCAAGUGCCUUCUAAGCACUAGGUCCGGAGUUCGAGUCUCCGCGGGCGCG
rnacentral:tRNA from 2 species